CUGAAAAAGAAGACCUCCCUCACAAUCCAAACAAAACUCACCAACGACGUAGAUGCAGUUCUUGAACGUGACGGCGUUGGUGCAUUUGGUCUCAAUGGGGAUUGGCGCUCGCAGUUCCCAGCUGUCCGUUCCUGGUUCCCAGCACUGAACCUUAUCGGUGGACAGUUUUCCGUUUGGACCCCCACCGAUCACGUAGAUCCAGCGGUCGAAGUUGGCUGCAGCAAAGGAGCUCACACCGAUAGCCAGAGGAGUCACCUGGAGCCAGCACAAGAGCAGAGAAUAAAGAAGUCGAGGAGGAGUAGAAGCAUGAAACGUCUUGAGGAAGACGAGAGUUGAGGCAACCGUUCCUAAGUAAGGAAGUGCCUAAAACCACAAGAACUGCAUCCUCUUCCUGUUGAUUUGAUCAGCUUUCUAAAUUCACCAUUAAAAACUUCACAUUGAACUUUCAGUGAGAGAGUGUUAAACUCACAAGGGGCCAAAAUCUAAAACACACCUUAGUUCGCAAACAGG